rnacentral:rRNA from 1 species
CGGGUGCAGCAGGCGCGAAACCUUUGCAAUACACGAAAGUGUGACAGGGUCAUCCCGAGUGCCGACCGCUGAGGUUGGCUUUUACCCAGUCUAGAAAGCUGGGGGAAUAAGGAGAGGGCAAGUCUGGUGUCAACCGCCGCGGUAAUACCAGCUCUCCGAGUGGUGUGGACGUUUAUUGGGCCUAAAGCACCCGUAGCUGGCUGAACAAGUCCCCUGUUAAACCCACCGAUUUAAUCGUUGGCUUGCGGGGGAUACUGCUCGGCUAGGGGACGAGAGAGGCAGACGGUAUUCCCGGGGUAGGGGUGAAAUCCUAUAAUCCCGAGAAGACCACCAGUGGCGAAGGCUGUCUGCUAGAACGCGCCCGACGGUGAGGGAUGAAAGCUGGGGGAGCGAACCGGAUUAGAUACCCGGGUAGUCCCAGCUGUAAACGAUGCAGACUAGGUGUUUGGACGGCCACGUGCCGUUCUAGUGCCGCAGGGAAGCUGUUAAGUCUGCCGCCUGGGGAGUACGAUCGCAAGAUUGAAACUUAAAGGAAUUGGCGGGGGAGCAC